ACAAAAACAAAAAACCGCACCCAGACCAGUAAUAUAAUAUAGCUUUGGGCCUGGUCAAUCCAAAGAGUCACAGACUUCAUGCUUGGUGAUUCACACCUGUAAUCCCAGAGCUCAGGAAGCAGGCGGAGCACAAGUUCAAGUUCCUCUACAGUUCUACCCCAUUGACUGACCCGCAGACCGAGUCACCUGGCACCCAACAUGGGGCAGAGAGAACGAGAGACCCCAUGAGGGACAUUACUGGAAGAAGGAUCGACCAAGCAGGAACCUGCCUCAUUGAGACCAAUGAAUCAUAGUAACGAAAAUGGGCCAAGAAAUAAGUGAUGAGGGAAAUUUUAGUUUCUCCAAUGCUUGGACAUACCUGGUUAUAUUAAACAGUUUGUCAUAAUCGUA